GCUGGAGGACUAAGAAGGCUGAGUCUGAUGAAGCAAGACUCUGCUGAUACAAUCCUCCUAGAGAAAAGGGUGGGAGAGAGCAGCCCUUCCUGGAGACGGUCUCAGGGCUGACUGCGCCACCCAACACCG
ensembl:snoRNA